rnacentral:rRNA from 1 species
UACGUAGGGGGCAAGCGUUGUCCGGAUUUAUUGGGCGUAAAGGGCGCGUAGGCGGUUUCUUAAGUUUGGAGUGACAGUGGGUGGCUUAACUACCCAAGGCCUCUGAAAACUGGGGAACUUGAGGACCAGAGAGGGACAUAGAAUUCCGGGUGGAGUGGUGAAAUGCGUAGAUAUCCGGAGGAAUACCAAAGGCGAAGGCAGUGUCCUGGAGGGUGACUGACGCUGAGGCGCGAAAGCGUGGGUAGCAAACAGG